rnacentral:rRNA from 1 species
UACGUAGGGGGCUAGCGUUAUCCGGAUUUACUGGGCGUAAAGGGUGCGUAGGCGGUCUUUCAAGUCAGGAGUGAAAGGCUACGGCUCAACCGUAGUAAGCUCUUGAAACUGUAAGACUUGAGUGCAGGAGAGGAGAGUGGAAUUCCCGGUGUAGCGGUGAAAUGCGUAGAGAUUGGGAGGAACACCAGUGGCGAAGGCGACUUACUGGGCCGUAACUGACGUUGAUGCGCGAAAGCGUGGGGAGCGAACAGGAUUAGAUACCCUGGUAGUCCCUGAG